rnacentral:rRNA from 1 species
CCUACGGGGGGCAGCAGUGAGGAAUAUUGGUCAAUGGGCGCGAGCCUGAACCAGCCAAGUCGCGUGAGGGAAGACGGUCCUAUGGAUUGUAAACCUCUUUUGUCGGGGAGCAAAAGACGCCACGCGUGGCGUUCCGAGAGUACCCGAAGAAAAAGCAUCGGCUAACUCCGUGCCAGCAGCCGCGGUAAUACGGAGGAUGCGAGCGUUAUCCGGAUUUAUUGGGUUUAAAGGGUGCGUAGGCGGGCGGUCAAGUCAGCGGUAAAAUUGGGGUGCUCAACGCCGUACAGCCGUUGAAACUGGCAGUCUUGAGUAGGCGAGAAGUAUGCGGAAUGCGUGGUGUAGCGGUGAAAUACAUAGAUAUCACGCAGAACUCCGAUUGCGAAGGCAGCAUACCGGCGCCCUACUGACGCUGAGGCUCGAAAGCGUGGGGAGCAAACAGGAUUAGAUACCCGAGUAGUC